CAGUCGCCGCGGUAAUACGUAGGUGGCAAGCGUUGUCCGGAAUUAUUGGGCGUAAAGGGCUCGCAGGCGGUUUCUUAAGUCUGAUGUGAAAGCCCCCGGCUCAACCGGGGAGGGUCAUUGGAAACUGGGAAACUUGAGUGCAGAAGAGGAGAGUGGAAUUCCACGUGUAGCGGUGAAUGCGUAGAGAUGUGAAGGAACACCAGUGGCGAAGGCGACUCUCUGGUCUGUAACUGACGCUGAGGAGCGAAAGCGUGGGGAGCGAACAGGAUUAGAUACCCCCGUAGUCCCUGUCUCUUAUACA
rnacentral:rRNA from 1 species